GACGAACGCUGGCGGCGUGCUUAACACAUGCAAGUCGAACGGAAAGGCCCUGCGUUUGUGGGGUUCUCGAGUGGCGAACGGGUGAGUAACACGUGAGUAACCUGCCCUUGACUUUGGGAUAACUUCAGGAAACUGGGGCUAAUACCGGAUAGGAGCUCCUGCUGCAUGGUGGGGGUUGGAAAGUUUCGGCGGUUGGGGAUGGACUCGCGGCUUAUCAGCUUGUUGGUGGGGUAGUGGCUUACCAAGGCUUUGACGGGUAGCCGGCCUGAGAGGGUGAACGGCCACAUUGGGACUGAGAUACGGCGCAGACUCCUACGGGAGGCAGCAGUGGAGAGUAUUGCACAAUGGGCGGAAGCCUGAUGCAGCAACGCCGCGUGCGGGAUGACGGCCUUCGGGUUGUAAACCGCUUUCGCCUGUGACGAAGCGUGAGUGACGGUAAUGGGUAAAGAAGCACCGGCUAACUACGUG
rnacentral:rRNA from 1 species